UACGUAGGCAGCGAGCGUUUGUUCGGAAUUACUGGGCGUAAAGAGUGUGUAGGCGGUGCUCUAAGUUCGGUGUGAAAUCUCCCGCUUAACUGGGAGGGUGCGCCGGAAACUGGAGUGCUCGAGCGUGGGAGAGGAAAGCGGAAGUUCCUGGUGUAGCGGUGAAAUGCGUAGAUAUCAGGAGGAACACCUGCGGUGUAGACGGCUUUCUGGACCAUUGCUGACGCUGAGACACGAAAGCGUGGGUAGCAAACAGG
rnacentral:rRNA from 1 species